UAGAUACCCGGGUAGUCCACGCCCUAAACGAUGAUAACUAAGUGUCGGGAUUUAUCUCGGUGCUGUAGCUAACGCGUUAAGUUAUCCACCUGAGGAGUACGGCCGCAAGGUUAAAACUCAAAGGAAUAGACGGGGACCCACACAAGCAGUGGAUCACGUGGUUUAAUUCGACAAUAAACGGGGAAUCUUACCCAGACUUGACAUCCUAGGAAUCUCUCAGAGAUGAGAGAGUGCUUUUAUUAGAGCCUAGUGACAGGUGCUGCAUGGCCGCCGUCAGAAG
rnacentral:rRNA from 1 species